GAUGAAGAACGUAGUGAAAUGCGAUACUUGGUGUGAAUUGCAGAAUCCCGUGAACCAUCGAGUUUUUGAACGCAAGUUGCGCCCGAAGCCUUUUGGCCGAGGGCACGUCUGCCUGGGCGUCACGCAUCGCGUCGCCCCCCACAAUUCUCCGUAAAGGGAACAUGUGUUUUGGGGGCGGAUAUUGGUCUCCCGUGCUCAUGGCGUGGUUGGCCGAAAUAGGAGUCCUUUCGAUGGACGCACGAACUAGUGGUGGUCGUAAAAACCCUCGUCUUUUGUUUCGUGCUGUUGGUCGCAAGGUAAACUCUUUAAAAACCCCAAUGUGUCGUCUCUUGACGACGCUUCGACCGCGACCCCAGGUCAGGCGGGACUACCCGCUGAGUUUAAGCAUAUCAAUAAGCGGAGGA
rnacentral:misc_RNA from 1 species